CAAGGUAUAGCUUAAUAGCUUAAGGCAUCUCCCUUACACUGAGAAGACAUUCGUGCAAAUCGAUUUACCUUG
rnacentral:tRNA from 1 species